AGUGAACGCUGGCGGUAGGCCUAACACAUGCAAGUCGAACGGCAGCACAGUAAGAGUUUGCUCUUACGGGUGGCGAGUGGCGGACGGGUGAGGAAUACAUCGGAAUCUACUUUUUCGUGGGUGAUAACGUAGGGAAACUUACGCUAAUACCUCAUACGACCUACGGGUUAAAGCAGGAGAUCUUCGGACCUUUCGCGAUUGAAUGAGCCGAUGUCGGAUUAGCUAGUUGGCGGGGUAAAGGCCCACCAAGGCGACGAUCCGUAGCUGGUCUGAGAGGAUGAUCAGCCACACUGGAACUGAGACACGGUCCAGACUCCUACGGGAGGCAGCAGUGGGGAAUAUUGGACAAUGGGCGCAAGCCUGAUCCAGCCAUACCGCGUGAGUGAAGAAGGCCUUCGGGUUGUAAAGCCCUUUUGUUGGGAAAGAAAAGCAGCAGAUUAAUACCCCGCUGUUCUGACGGUACCCAAAGAAUAAGCACCGGCUAACUUCGUG
rnacentral:rRNA from 1 species